rnacentral:rRNA from 1 species
GACGAACGCUGGCGGCGUGCCUAAUACAUGCAAGUCGAGCGAAGUUUUUCUGGUGCUUGCACCGGAAAAACUUAGCGGCGAACGGGUGAGUAACACGUAAAGAACCUGCCUCAUAGACUGGGACAACGAUUGGAAACGAUAGCUAAUACCGGAUAACAGCAUUAACUGCAUGGGUGAUGUUUAAAAGUUGGUUUUGCUAACACUAUGAGAUGGCUUUGCGGUGCAUUAGCUAGUUGGUGGGGUAAAGGCCUACCAAGGCGACGAUGCAUAGCCGACCUGAAAGAGUGAUCGGCCACACUGGGACUGAGACACGGCCCAGACUCCUACGGGAGGCAGCAGUAGGGUAUCUUACGCAAUGGGGGAAAGCCUGACGGAGCAGCGCCGCGUGAGUGAAGAAGAAUUUCGGUUCGUAAAGCUCUGUUGUUAGGGAAGAAUGAUUGUGUCGUAACUAUACGCAGUAGCGACGGUACCUGACAAGAAAGCCCCGGCUAACUACGUG